GUCCUCAACCGACAUACGUGUACGAUAGUGGACGGUGAUGGGAUCUCAGUGAUGGGAUAAGGCCGAGGACGGGGCUCUGGCUUUUUAACCCUCACCGGUUUUGGCCGGAGCCCACCGGUUUUAAGCUCCCGCGGCCGCCAAACCGCUCUAGACCCUCACGUAAUCCCAGGAGCAGAGCCCACCGUAACCCACCCUCUUUUAAUCAUUCUGUGAAUCCCUAUAAAUACGGAUUGCCCCCCAAAAAAUCCCUAAGAACGUCCGCCGUAAGGUUUGUGAAGGAGACUAUAUCUCGCUUUCUGUAACCAUCGUCGAGGAGGGUUCGAGUUUGAAGGAAGGAAAGAUGAUACUGGUGGCGAUAGUGGCGGAGCUGCUGCAGGAGUACACGAUGCUGGUGGCGAGGGUGCUGGAGCAGCUGCUCAACGACGCCCCCUUCCCCCGCCGGAUGCGCUUCCUGAUGCUCAGAAGCAUCCCCUUCGCCUCCCCGCCCCGCCCCCUCCCUCCGCCCGCCUACGCCCGUCCCGCAGCCGCAGCCCCCCGUUGAUCGGUUCGGAUGUUAGGGUUAGGGUUCUUCGCGGCCUGGAUCGGGCUUGCUUUUAUUGAGGAUGCGCAAAAAGGUAGCCUAUGAGCAAAUCAGACCACGUAUUAAGCUUCGGUUACUUUUCUUAUGAGAUACCAUGGAUAGAAAACAACAAUGAUCUGGAUAUAAUUUUCAAAAUGUUCAGCAGCAUGCUUGCUAAGUUCGACAGAUCCUGUUCUAAUAAAUCAUGGGGAAAGUUCCUUACUUCCUCCAUUUUGCAUUCGAAAGAAAAACAAAAAAAUGUUCGACAAAUCUUUUGCAACAUAUGAUGAUGGUAAUGUUCCACACCAAAUUGUGGGCUAUGGUUGCUAAGAGACAAUAUUCAAAAUUUUGCUGUGGUUCUUGGA